rnacentral:rRNA from 1 species
CGAAAGCCGGAUUAAUACCGCAUACGAUCUACGGAUGAAAGCGGAGGACCGCAAGGCUUCGCACUAUAGGAGUGGCCGAUAUCGGAUUAGCUAGUUGGCGGGGUAAAAGCCCACCAAGGCGACGAUCCGUAGCUGGUCUGAGAGGAUGAUCAGCCACACUGGAACUGAGACACGGUCCAGACUCCUACGGGAGGCAGCAGUGGGGAAUUUUGGACAAUGGGCGCAAGCCUGAUCCAGCCAUGCCGCGUGAGUGAAGAAGGCCUUCGGGUUGUAAAGCUCUUUCGGCAGGAACGAAAUGGUUCGUGCUAAUACCACGGACUGAUGACGGUACCUGAAGAAGAAGCACCGGCUAACUACGUGCCAGCAGCCGCGGUAAUACGUAGGGUGCAGGCGUUAAUCGGAAUUACUGGGCGUAAAGCGUGCGCAGGCGGUUUCUUAAGUCAGAUGUGAAAGCCCCGGGCUCAACCUGGGAACUGCGUUUGAAACUGGGAGACUCGAGUGUGGCAGAGGGGGGGUGGAAUUCCACGUGUAGCAGUGAAAUGCGUAGAUAUGUGGAGGAACACCGAUGGC